AUAAAAUAUUAGGAGCCAUACCUGCCCAGUGACGAAUUAAGUUUAACGGCCGCGGUACUCUGACCGUGCAAAGGUAGCAUAAUCAUUUGUCCUAUAAUUAAGGACUUGUAUGAAUGGUCCCACAAGAACAAAACUGUCUCUUAAAAAUUUUCUAAAAUUUGGUUUUUAGGUGAAGAAACCUAAAUAAUAUUAAAAGACAAGAAGACCCUAUCGAGCUUAAAAAAUAAAUUAAAUUUGACAAAAUCAAAACUACAAAAAAAAUUAGUUGGGGCGACUUAGGAACAAACAAAACUUCCUCUUAAAUAUUUUUAAAUAUAUAAAUAAUGAUCCAAAAUAUUUGAUUAAAAAAAUUAGUUACCGUAGGGAUAACAGCAUAAUCUUUUUAAAGAGAACAUAUCGAAAAAAAGGUUUGUGACCUCGAUGUUGGACUAGGAUAUCCUAAUAGAUUGUAAAAGUCUUCAAAGGUUAGUUUGUUGGACUA
rnacentral:rRNA from 1 species